CUAAUCAGUUGUUGUAUUCGACUGUAUUCAUGGAGUGAAACAUGGGAUUACAGCUGCACAGAGAGAUUACAAUGUUUUUAAAACGAAAAGUGAAUCAAUUAACAUAAUAGACUCCU
rfam:Nicotiana attenuata strain TT chromosome 11, whole genome shotgun sequence.